rnacentral:rRNA from 1 species
GGGUUGUGAGGUUAAGCGACUAAGCGUACACGGUGGAUGCCCUGGCAGUCAGAGGCGAUGAAGGGCGUGCUAAUCUGCGAUAAGCGCCGGUAAGGUGAUAUGAACCGUUAUAACCGGCGAUACCCGAAUGGGGAAACCCAGUGUGAUUCGUCACACUAUCAUUAACUGAAUCCAUAGGUUAAUGAGGCGAACCGGGGGAACUGAAACAUCUAAGUACCCCGAGGAAAAGAAAUCAACCGAGAUUCCCCCAGUAGCGGCGAGCGAACGGGGAGGAGCCCAGAGCCUGAAUCAGCAUGUGUGUUAGUGGAAGCGUCUGGAAAGGCGCGCGAUACAGGGUGACAGCCCCGUACACAAAAGCGCAUGUGCUGUGAGCUCGAUGAGUAGGGCGGGACACGUGGUAUCCUGUCUGAAUAUGGGGGGACCAUCCUCCAAGGCUAAAUACUCCUGACUGACCGAUAGUGAACCAGUACCGUGAGGGAAAGGCGAAAAGAACCCCGGCGAGGGGAGUGAAAAAGAACCUGAAACCGUGUACGUACAAGCAGUGGGAGCACCCUUUGGGUGUGACUGCGUACCUUUUGUAUAAUGGGUCAGCGACUUAUAUUCUGUAGCAAGGUUAACCGAAUAGGGGAGCCGGAGGGAAACCGAGUCUUAACCGGGCGUUAAGUUGCAGGGUAUAGACCCGAAACCCGGUGAUCUAGCCAUGGGCAGGUUGAAGGUUGGGUAACACUAACUGGAGGACCGAACCGACUAAUGUUGAAAAAUUAGCGGAUGACCUGUGGCUGGGGGUGAAAGGCCAAUCAAACCGGGAGAUAGCUGGUUCUCCCCGAAAGCUAUUUAGGUAGCGCCUCGUGAAUUCAUCUCCGGGGGUAGAGCACUGUUUCGGCUAGGGGGCCAUCCCGGCUUACCAACCCGAUGCAAACUGCGAAUACCGGAGAAUGUUAUCACGGGAGACACACGGCGGGUGCUAACGUCCGUCGUGAAGAGGGAAACAACCCAGACCGCCAGCUAAGGUCCCAAAGUCAUGGUUAAGUGGGAAACGAUGUGGGAAGGCCCAGACAGCCAGGAUGUUGGCUUAGAAGCAGCCAUCAUUUAAAGAAAGCGUAAUAGCUCACUGGUCGAGUCGGCCUGCGCGGAAGAUGUAACGGGGCUAAACCAUGCACCGAAGCUGCGGCAGCGACACUGUGUGUUGUUGGGUAGGGGAGCGUUCUGUAAGCCUGUGAAGGUGUGUCGUGAGGCAUGCUGGAGGUAUCAGAAGUGCGAAUGCUGACAUAAGUAACGAUAAAGCGGGUGAAAAGCCCGCUCGCCGGAAGACCAAGGGUUCCUGUCCAACGUUAAUCGGGGCAGGGUGAGUCGACCCCUAAGGCGAGGCCGAAAGGCGUAGUCGAUGGGAAACGGGUUAAUAUUCCCGUACUUGGUGUUACUGCGAAGGGGGGACGGAGAAGGCUAUGUUGGCCGGGCGACGGUUGUCCCGGUUUAAGCGUGUAGGUGUGUGUUCCAGGUAAAUCCGGUUCACUUUAACACUGAGGCGUGACGACGAGGCACUACGGUGCUGAAGCAACAAAUGCCCUGCUUCCAGGAAAAGCCUCUAAGCAUCAGGUAACAUCAAAUCGUACCCCAAACCGACACAGGUGGUCAGGUAGAGAAUACCAAGGCGCUUGAGAGA